UAUUGUAAACUAUGUACAUAUGUAAAUAAUUUGUAAAUAUUUUAAAUGCAACGCUCGAACAUAAUGGAACAAUCGGACUUUCAACAAAGUGUAAGGAACGGCCUCCUGUUGCUGCACUUCCCGGACUUGCCUACCUGCUGGAACAACUUAAAGCUGCAGCCCCACCUGCAACUUCUCGGACUUUCUACCGGAUGGAACAAUUACAUGCUACCUUCUCCCCGAUAGGAGAUCGGGUGUCUCCUAUCGCUGCCUUGGUACAUUGUAGCUCAUGUUGAAUCAUGCCCAAAGACGCUUACACUGCUUUGUGAAGCUUAUGUGUAUUCGAAUUGCGAAAAUGCAGUCUCUACGCCUAGAAUGGAGAGCCGUCCCUCGCAGACAUUCUUGAAGUGAAGUAUCAAGAUUUCAAGUUCGCAUCUAAAUUAAUCAAAUCGUAUCAAAAUUGCGUCGGCGAAUCCUCCACAGGACACAGGAGGAGGAGG